GUCUCUAGAAGUACCUGGUGCAAAAGGCC
rnacentral:piRNA from 1 species